AAGAUACUUAAUUAUAAUGGAUGAUAUGUGGAGCAUUGAUGCAUGGGAUAGAGUUAGAAAUUAUUUUCCAAAUAACGAAAAUGGUAGCAGAAUAGUGGUAACAACUAGGCUAUCAGAUUUGGCUUCUACAUUACCCAACUCUGAUAGCCUUGGGAUGAAACUUUUGGAUGAUGAUGAAAGUUGGCAGCUUCCAUCCAAAACUGUGUUUGGGGAAGAAGGUUGCCCUCUUGAAUUGGAGGAAAUCGGAAAAAAGAUUGGAAAAACCUGCAAAGGACUUCCAUUGUCGAUUGUUGUGGUGGGAGGCCUUUUGGCCAAGUCCAAACAUGAAAAAGAGUUUUGGAAAUACAUAGGGGAAAACUUUAAUGAUGCAAGUGUUAAUUUAGAGGAUGAUGAACGUUGCUUGAAAAUAUUAUACAUGAGUUACAAGCACUUGCCAAUACAUUUGAAACCAUGUUUUCUCUAUAUGGGAGUUUUCCCUGAAGAUAAGAAGAUUUUUAUCUCAGAGCUCAUUAAAUAUUGGGUUGUGGAAGGAUUUGUGAAAGCAGUAAGUGGGAAAAGCUUGGAAGAGAUAGCAAAAGAGUAUUUAAAAGACCUUAUUAGUAGAAAUCUUGUUUUAAGUCAUGAGUUGGAUAAUAUUGGAAACAUAAAAAAGUGUAAAAUUCAUGACUUGUUGAGAGACUUGUGUUUGAGAGAAGCUCAAAAAGAAAGGUUUUAUUAUACCGCGUUAGAUAAUGUAGCCAUAAGAGUCUUGCCACCUAUGUCACAAGCUCGUUCUUUGACGUGGAAUGUUCAAAAAAUACAAUCACCUCUCAAUGCGAGCUUGUUGAGGAUAGUGAAAACAACUGGAGUUGAAUGGUUAAAAAAUGAUUUAUUUGGACACACGAAUCAAUUUGUUAACUCACGGUUCGUUCAAAUAAGUUCUUACGGAAAAAGAUUGAGGAAUUAUCCUUGUUCAAUAUGGCGAUUUUGGAAUCUACAAACAUUAAUUGUUGACACCAGCGAUGUGGUUACUGCGCCAACUGAUUUUUGGUACAUGCCUCACAUCAGGCAUGUUGAGUUCGACAACGGUCUUCGUCUCCCAGAUCCUCCUAACGACCGAGACGACAUUGUUUUGGGAAAUCUGCAAAGUUUGGGGAAAGGAUUAGAUUUCAAGUGUAGCAAACAAGUGGUCAAAAAAAUUCCCAAUAUAAAAAAAUUGGUUUUUUCUAAUUGGGGAGAGCUUGAUGAUGAGAUGUAUUGUUUGAGCAAUCUCGAUUGUCUAACUAAACUUGAGUCCUUGCAAUGCGAGAUUUCUGGAAAGUGUGUCAUCAACUUUCCCCAUUCGCUCAAGAGUUUAGUUCUUCGUAACAGCAUAUUGAGUUCGUGGCAAGACAUAUUGGAUAAGGUAGGUGCGUUGCCCCAUCUUCAGAAGCUCACACUCUGGUUGGGGAGUUUCAACGAAGGGAAGUGGGAAACAAGUGAAGGCCAAUUCCGCAGCCUCAAAUUCUUGACUCUUGAGUAUAGUAAUCUAGAAACAUGGGAAAUUGAAAGCUCCCACUUUCCAUGCCUUGAGUGCCUUCAUCUUGAUGGACUAAAUGAGUUGCGGGAAAUCCCUUUAGAUUUCGCAGAGAUAGCCACACUUAGAGAAAUUGUUGUGGAAGGUUGCAGUGAUUCGACAGUGGUUUCUGCAAAACGAAUAUCAGAGGAACACGAGGACUAUUACGGGGAAGAAGCCCUUCAGGUUCGCGUUGUCCUGUGGAGUAAUAACGAAGCAGGACUUGAGAGCUUAGAUGGUCCUAACUUUUGUGUUGGACGUUAAUGAGAAUCACUACUACUAAGGUACACAGAAGAAACUGUAGAUUUGGUUUAAAUUGAUUGGAUUCCUAGUUUUGAUUUCUAAUAUUUUCGUGAUGGAACAAGUGUGCAGUGCAGGUAGUGUGUGGGGAAAGAGCACAUCACAGAAUGAAUCCAUUCAUGCGUAUCCGUGGUUGGUGCUCGUGCUCGUGGUAGGGCCACUUUCUCCACCCAUGUAUGGGCCGAGUUGGACGCUGCAGCUCUUGUUUCACUCUUCAGGUAGGAAUGGACCAGCUCAAACAAGACACACAGUUACCCGGAUUCGGCUUAUUCUGCGUGGUAUACAGACCCGAUUUACUCACAUCCAUCGAGAGGGCAACCGCCUGGCAAAUUUUAUGGCUCGCCAUUGCUCCUAGGUAUUUGUUUAGAUCUUGUUAGAAUGGAUCAGCUGGGAUAUCCUAAUUUUAGAUUUAGAUAUGUGUAGGUUGACUUUUGUGCUUCAUGUUUAGCUCUUUAUGUAUUUUUCUGUGGGGUUGUCACUUGUGGGUUUGACUUAAGUUGGUGUUCCUUUGGUUUUUGAGCUUCUUAGUUUGUUUUACUUCCGACAUCUUACUAUAUUUGAUGAUAGGUAGGUUGCUUGUCUUAAUGUUCUUUGAGGCCUUAGUCACUUUUGGACUAAAUCUUAUUGUAAUCUUUGACUUUGAUUGAUAUCUAUUCCACCUUCAAAAAANAAAAAUUAUGAUAGAGGUGUAUAGAAAGUUUAUUGGACAAACAGUUCCAUCCGCUAGAUUGUAGGACAUGAAUGAAUUAGUAAAAAUGUGUUCAAAUCACCUAUGAAUCUGAUGGCCGCCAUUAAACUCUGUUUCAGGAUUAUGAUUCUCUCGAAGAAACUAACGAUCGUGAAUGAAGUUCAUGCGACACUUCUUACCUUGGAAAGGUAUAUAUUCAGUUCUUUUUAUGAUUCACAACACACUCAUAUGUAACAGCUGCAGCAUAGUAGAUUCUUUUGUUUCAGCAAAGUAGAUUCUCGAGUGAUGACGACGCAUGACUGGAGAGCUUGGAUAGUCGUGACCUUCGUGUUAGACGUAUCUGAGAAUCACUGCUACUAAGGUACAGAAAAGAAACUGUAGAUUUGGUUAAACUUGAUUGGAUUUCUAGUUUUGAUUUGUAAUACUCCAUUUGAGUGAUGGAACAAGUGUGCAAUGCAGGUAGUGUGUGGGGAAAGCGCACAACAUAGAAUGAAUCCAUUCAUGAAUUGCACCAUUUUUCAUUACUCAGCUGUAUUAUUUCUUGCUUAUCUCUUUCAAAGAAAGAUGACUAAAUUAUGAUAGAGGUGUAUAUAAAAGUUUUGAAUACUUUGUAAUGUUAGGUUGCUUUAAAUACAUAUGGAAUUGGGAUUAACAUGAUUUUCUUUAUUGAUUUUCUCCAAGCAACGGGACAAGCUGGAGCUUUUAUUGGGUCAAAUUCUAAUUUCCAGUCUCUGUUUCUACUGUCAUUCUUAUGGGCUCAUUUAUAAUAAUACUAGCAGAAACAACGUGCGGUGCACAUUUCACUAAUGUCGUUUUAUGUGAUAAAAGUUAAAUAUAUAGAUAUUAUUAUAUAGUUUGAACGUGUAUUAUUUUAUAUGAUGAAAAUAAAAUAUAUAGAUAUUAUUGUAUAGUUUGAAAUAUUUUUAUUAAUUGAAGUUAUGAAAUUUACUUACUCAUUUGUCUAUUAAAAUUUAAAACAAUAAUUCAUAAAACUAUUAAUGAAUAAAUUAAAAUAUAACAAAUUAAUACUCAUAAUAUACGGCUUAAUAAAAUUGCAAAAAAAAUCUAUGAAAAAUGUCCUAAAUUAUCUAAGUACGAAGCAAGACGAACUUUUUAUUUUUUUUCUUGUUUGAUUUUGACGAUUGAUGAUCUUUUCUUCUUAUUUUUGGUUUGCGAUAGAAUGUUGUUCAGUAUGCCUUAUAUAUUCAUCAUCUAACUUAUUUCACCAGGACUGAUCACGAAAGACGAAUCUUGUGCAGUGGUUCCUCUCAGCAUGAUAACAAAUAACUUUCUAUAGAAUUAAUUAAUAAAAAUUUCAGCCCUAUAUAUCAUGAGUUUUCAAUAAAUUAAUUGAUAAAAAUUUCAGCCAUAUCAUGAUGACAUAGAAAAGGAAAUUAAAGUUUUCAAUAAUACUGCUCUAGUGUGAAUGGUAACUGUAUAGUGAGAAAUUAAAGUUUUCAAUAAUAGAGGUAGGUUGGAAACAAUCUCCCAUGUGGGCAAAGACUUUGAGAAUUCAUAAUUAAUCAAAGUCUCUCAUCUUCAUCUUCAUUCUCAUUCUCAUUCUCAUCUCAUAUUCUCUGCAACUCCCAAAACAACCAUGGCAGCAGCUUAUGCAACUCUUGUUUCUGCUUUGAAUAUCAUAAACAACCUUCACCAUCAUCCCCGCCCUCCUAUUUCUCUCUCCAUUCAACAAGUUGAGUCUCUCACUCAAAAGAUUAAUUUCCUGCUCGAAUUUGUCGAGGGGUAUAACCCCCAUCGUGACUACUCCAAAGAAGCGGAUCCAUUGGAGUCUCGCAUUGCAGAUGCAGCUUAUGCCGCCGAACACNUAGUAGAGGUAGAUUAUUUGGAGAUGAUAAGAUGUCAAUUAAUGGAUAAUAAUGCUGCUCCAGCCGCUAUCUUUCAGUCUGAAUGCUAGCUGUGAAGUGAGCAAUUAAUAGAGGUAGAUUGGAAAGACUUCGAGAAUUCAUAAUUAAUUCAUUCACACUCUCUCAUCUUCAUUCUCAUUCUCAUCUCAUAUUCUCUCCGCAACUCCCAAAACAACCAUGGCAGCUGCUUAUGCAACUCUAGUUUCUGCUAUGAAUAUCAUAAACAACCUUCUCCAUCAUCCCCGCCCUCCUAUUUCUCUCUCCAUUCAACAAGUUGAGUCUCUCACUCAAAAGAUUAAUUUCCUGCUCGAAUUUCUCGAGGGCUAUAACCCCCAUCGUGGCUACUGCAAAGAAGCAGAUCCAUUGGAGUCUCGCAUUGCAGAUGCAGCUUAUGCGGCCGAAUUCGCCAUUGAAUCUCAUAUUUUCGAUGAGCUGAAAAAUGAUGGAGAAAACAUUGUUUAUCUAUCAAUAAGAAAAAUAAAAAAUAUAAUAAAAAAAUAUAUGGGUUCUGAUGGCUUGUACGAAGCUCUGGAGAAGGUGAUAGAAGACAUGGCUUCUAUCGAAGAGGAGGCCAAGCAAAUUCAAGGGAGAGUUGGAGUCAAACAUCUGCUGCCUCCUGAUUCGUCGAGAUCUUCUUCGAUUCCGCAGCAGAGUAUCAUGGUGGGUGCUGAUGAUGUCAAGCUUGAUAAGCUCACUUCUCAUUGCCGCGAUCUACAAAUCAUUCCCAUUGUAGGGAUGGGCGGCUUGGGUAAGACCACUCUUGCUAGAACUGUUUAUGAAGAACGUCUUCUUAAGAAGCAUUNUUAUAUUUGUGCUUGGGCUACUAUCUCUCAAGAAUAUACCAUUAGAGAAAUUUUUGCAGCUGUUCUUGCCAGUAAAUAUAGGAGUUGAUGAAAUUUAGGAGCUGAAUUAGAAAAAUUGUAUCAACAUCUUUAUCAUAGAAGAUACCUAAUUAUAAUGGAUGAUAUGUGGAGCAUUGAGCAUGGGAUAGAGUUAGAAUUAUUUUCCAAAUAACAAAAAUGGUAGCAGAAUAGUGGUAACAACUAGGCUAUCGGAUUUGGCUUCUAAAUUAUCCAACUCUGAUAGCCUUGGGAUGGAACUUUUGGAUGAGGCUGAUAGUUGGGAGCUUCUCUCCAAAACUGUGUUUGGGGAAAAAGGUUGCCCACUUGAAUUGGA
rnacentral:lncRNA from 1 species